UUAAAACUAUAAAUCUAAUUAAAAGCCUGGGUGAAUAUAUAUGCCUUCAGUGUCUUUUAAAAAGUUGCCAGAGAUGGGGAGGCUCUUGUUUCAACAGGGAGUGUAUUCCAAAAUCCAGGGGCAGCAAGGAAGAAGGCUUGUUCCCGAGUAGCUGUCAAAUGAGUUGGCGACAACCACAGAUGAACUUCUCCAGAUGAUCUUAACAGGCAGUCUGUCAUAUUCAGGCUGACUUAGAUUCCUUCUCCACAAUUACUUCAGUGGAGAUGUCCAGCGACUCCUUUUGUGUGGUUAAGUUGGAUCAGUUCCAGUUUGUGACCCCAGGAGGAUGUGGACAAGCUGAUUGAAACGGUGCAGCCUACCACCUGUUCUCUUGACCUUUGCCUGACAUGGCUUAUAUUAUCUGGCAGGGGGGUUGUUGUAGAAGGUCUGGUAGGGAUUAUAAAUGCGUCUCUGAGGGAAGGCAGGAUACCUCCUUGUCUUAAAGAGGCAAAUAUUAGACCACUUCUGAAGAAGCCUACCUUGGAUCCCUCAGAGUUGAGCAACUACAGGCCUGUCUCCAACCUGGGCUAGGUAAUGAGAGGGUGGUGGCCUCCCAGCUCCAGAAAGGCAUUUAGGGAGGUUAUGCCUUCUCCCGAUGAUGUUGACAUGGAGAAAUAGAUUUGGAUGUCAUCAGCACGUUGAUAACAUCCCAACCCACACCAAAUCUUCUGAUGGUCUCUCCAAGCGGUUUCAUGUAGAUGUUAAACAACAUCAGAGACAGUAUAGAACCCUGAGGGACACCAUAUGAAAGUUCAGAAUUUGAGGAACAGCAAUCUUCAGGAGACACCAUCUGGAAUCUGCCCAUGAAGUAGGAGCAGAACCACUGCAAAGCAGUGCCUCCCACCUCCAACCCCCUCAGAUGUUCCAGAAUGAUACUAUUGUCAAUAGUAUCAAAGCCUGCCAAAAGAGCCAAGAGGACCAACAGAGUCACACUCCCUCUGUCAAUUCCCAAUUGGAGAUCAUCCAUCAGGCUGACCAAGGCAGUCUCCACCCCAUAACACACUCAAAAGCCAGUUUGAAAUAGGUCUAGAUAGUCAGUUUCCUCCAAGACCACCUUGGAGGAACCUUUUGUGACCCCUUAUGAUUUUCUAACUUGUCCAUGGCUUUGGACCUUAUACCCUAGCAAUAGUCUUUGAUUUAUUUUUAUUUUUCCCUAGCUCUAAGCUUUAAGCUCUGUAAUUUUGUGAUUUUCCUUUUGACUUCCAUUGAAUCUCCAGUUUUUGAGUUCUAUCCUUUGUGUUGCUGAGACUGCUGUGCAGACUGAUUCAACAUAUUUGGUCUGAGGUGUUUUUUCCUGGUUGUCAUCUUCUUACCUUGGAGAAUUGCAAUGAAAUCAUUCUGCAGUUCAGUGAAUUCAUCUCAACAGAGAAAUAUAUGCAGUGGCUCUAAAGAGAGUGACACCAACUGUAAAUGCAUCUUGGAUUUAUAUAGGGAACCUGCUUUCAUUCUUUACGCAGAGAUAUGGAACUAAGGUGAAAAGGCUUUGGCAAAUUGCUUUUGACUCCAGUGCUGCUUAUCUGUAGAGAUGAUAAUAUUUUGAAAGAAAAUGAAUGUUAUACUACCACAGUGAAAAAUAAGAGACUCACAAAGUAGUCUCUCAUUCAAAUGAAGGGUGGACCAUGCUUAGCUACUACAAUUCAUGCUUGCUACCACAAGACCAGAACUCCAGAUUUCAGAACUGCAGCUAGUCAGGUGAGCUCUCAAGAUUUCUCAUUGACAGAUUCAUCACAUAUUUGGGAUACUAAAAGACAAGAACUGACAAACUUUGAACAGUGCAGCUACUCAUUUGGCUGUGCUAGUGAAAGGAUGGAGACUGAAAGAUUUCGAGAAUAUAUGAGAUAAUCAUUACAAAAGCAGCUGUGCUCCUUUAAAAUGCACAACAACACAAUGGAGACGCUAUCUGAAGGGGUAAGAAUUACUUUCAAUUCUAAAACAGAAAGCUGUAUAGUCUGUAGGAGACUGGAGCUAAGCAGAUAUGGUGAGUAUUUUAUCAUCUCCAGAUGUUAAAUUCUAUUAUUUUCUUUCAUUCUCUGGCUGUGUAAUCUUUGUCAAAGCUUGAUUUUAAGGAGGAAGAGAUACUUCUGCAGGAAAGAUGAUACCUUGUGCAGGAACAUACAUUGAAACUGAUAACAAUAAGACAAACUUCGUUACAGGAACUGACUGGAAAAGCUAAAUAAGAGUCUCUGGUACACUUAAGAAAGCAAAGCAUUCCUAACCAAAGCAAGGUAAGUAACAAAACUUGUUGCAUCGACUGCUGUAUCAAAUGAAGGGACAUGUAGAACAUCACAGAUGAUCAUCACUAACAGGAGGUAGGUUCUUUAUUUAAAAAAGAGAGAGAGAGUCACCUUUCUUGGUUAUGCAAACCAACUUCUGAAGAUAUCUGUGAUGGUUAAACAUUUAUUUGAUAAUUCUACUAGCUUCUUACAGAGUUGGAUGGAGAAUAAAAGAGGACAACCACAACAGAAGACAAUCUUCAUUUGCAGAAAUAGGCUUGAAAGGCAUAAGAAAGUACAUAUCAAGGAUUAAGAUGAACUCAUUAAAAUAUACGAUGCAAGGUAAGGAACACUGCGUGUUGUAUUUGCUAUUAAGAAGUGGAAAGAGUAAGAAUCACAGAUCACUCAUCAUCAAGAAGGUAGGUCUUUAAGAGAUCUUUUUUGCCAAAGACAGCAUAUACUUGGUCACUUUUCCGAGCUGGCUGGUCUUUUCAAACUAAAUGUCUCCAUGAAGUCCAAUUCGUUGUUGCUGCAAAGACUAAAAUUGUGUAUCCCUGAUCAUUACAGCACAAAGCAACUUGGAAGGAAAGACUGAAGUUUGUUCAAUGGUAUUGUAACAAUGAAUGAUUUUUACGAGCUACAAGGGAUUGUUUCUUCUCAUGAUGUUUGAGGAACAGUAAGCCACUCUCUAGUUAUUCUUUCAGGUGUAGGGAGGAAAAAAUGGAAGCUGAACAUACAUAUAUAAAUUCAGAGCCUGGCAGAUGAGCAGUCCUUAGUGUUGCUUUAUCGUUUUCGAUAAGAAGACAGCAACAGAGACUGCAGGGGAAAUUAUGAAAUCAUAAUUUCAAUAUGAUUAAUUUUCCUCAUCAUGUCAACCACUAUCUCUUUCUUGCUGUAUUCUAAAUACAAAGGAGGCAAGGAGAGGUUAUUGGGAUUCUUGUCUUAAAUAUAUUAACAGAGCCUAUGCCCUGUGGGAUGCUAUGGAUAAUGUCAGAUUUAGUGUGAACAGUCUGUGCACUGAGUGAGGUGGUGCUAGUGGUGGCGGGUUUACAUUACAGGAUCUUUACAUUGCUUCACACCAACAUUUUUAAAAGGAACUUUCAGUUAUUUUCUUCCCAGCACCAUUUUUCAGGGUUUGUUUUCCUCUUUAUUUUGAAGCGUCCCACUGAGUUUAAUGGAACUUACUCCCUUGCGUGUGUGCAUGUUGAAUUGUAGGCUCAGUUAUCAAAAUGGUGCUUGAAAAGGCAUGUCUACACUAGCCCAGCAUCUUUUUUCUCCAGCUGCUCAGAAAGUGCUCUUUCUUAUGCUUUCAGAAAGCCCCAAAGAAGUGCAGCGAGGAACUCUCAGAAACAUUUCCCACCCAGCUCCAACAUGCUACUAUUCUGGUGUAUAUAUUGCCCUUGAACAAGAAGGUUCUAUAUGACAGCCAAAAUGCCUGUGAACCACUGAUCUGUGCCCUUAGUUAUUUUUUCCUCUUGUUAUGGGGAUUUGAAACAGUAAUUAUUCUGUUUCAAAUCCCCAUAAUAAGACUAAACUAAUGACAACGGGUACAGCAACCAGCCUCAGAAAUGAUAAUGAAGAUACUGAAGUGAUGCAUAACUUCUGCCUUUUAGGAUCGGUCGUCAACAGUAAAGGCUCCAGCAGUCAAGAAAUACGCUGCAGACUAGCACUUGGUAGGGUUACAAUGAAGACCUUGGAAAGGAUAUUUAGAUGCCAUGACGUGUCCAUACCUACAAAGAUUAGAAUCAUUCGGACCAUGGUUUUCCCCGUGACACUCUAUGGAUGUGAAAGCUGGACUUUGAAAAAGCAAGAUAAAAAAAGCAUUGACGCUUUUGAACUUUGGUGCUGGCGAAGACUUUUGAGGAUACCAUGGACAGGCAGGAAAACAAACAAAUGGAUCAUAGAACAAAUCAAUCCAGAAUUUUUAAUUGAGGCACAAAUGACCAGGCUCAAACUAUCAUACUUCGGACAAAUUAUGCAAAAACUCAGCUCCCUUGAGAAGUCUAUAAUGUUGGGAAAAAUUUGAAGGAAAGAGAAGAAGAGGAUGACCAGCAGAAAGGUGGAUGGACUCGAUUGUGACAGCAAUGAAUGCACCACUGAGAGACGUUAAAGGCCAAGUUGAAGACAGAUCAUGCUGGAGAGAAUCUAUCUAUGUGGUCGCUAAGAGUCGACACCGACAUGACGGCACUUAAUCAAUCAAUCAAUCAUUCAAAAAUCACUAGAUGGAUGUUUUUCAGACCAGCCAAAGGUGCUAAUCCAGCAUGGAGCUGAAUUUUUUAGGAAUACUAAAAUGACAUUAAAAUAUUAAA